rnacentral:rRNA from 1 species
UACGUAGGACCCAAGCGUUGUCCGGAUUUACUGGGUGUAAAGGGUGCGCAGGCGGAUGGAUAAGUCAGAGGUGAAAGUCUGCAGCUUAACUGUAGAAUUGCCUUUGAUACUGUUCAUCUUGAGUGUGGGAGAGGUUGAUGGAAUUCCAGGUGUAGCAGUGAAAUGCGUAGAUAUCUGGAAGAACACCAGUGGCGAAGGCGGUCAACUGGCCCAUAACUGACGCUCAUGCACGAAAGCGUGGGUAGCGAACAGG